UGCGUAGGCGGCGCGGUAAGUCGGGUGUGAAAUCUCGGAGCUUAACUCCGAAACUGCAUUCGAUACUGCGGUGCUUGAGGACUGGAGAGGAGACUGGAAUUUACGGUGUAGCAGUGAGAUGCGUAGAGAUCGUAAGGAAGACCAGCGGCGAAGGCGGGUCUCUGGAAAGUUCCUGACACUGAGGCACGAAGGCCAGGGAGCAAACG
rnacentral:rRNA from 1 species